rnacentral:rRNA from 1 species
UACGUAGGGUGCAAGCGUUAAUCGGAAUUACUGGGCGUAAAGCGUGCGCAGGCGGCUUUGCAAGUCAGAUGUGAAAUCCCCGGGCUCAACCUGGGAACUGCAUUUGUGACUGCAUGGCUAGAGUGCGGCAGAGGGGGAUGGAAUUCCGCGUGUAGCAGUGAAAUGCGUAGAUAUGCGGAGGAACACCGAUGGCGAAGGCAAUCCCCUGGGCCUGCACUGACGCUCAGGCACGAAAGCGUGGGGAGCAAACAGG